rnacentral:hammerhead_ribozyme from 1 species
ACACAAAUGACGAGUCUUGAACAGGACGAGACGCGCGUCCUGGAU